UUUGCCUACGGGAGGCAGCAGUGGGGAAUAUUGCACAAUGGGGGGAACCCUGAUGCAGCGACGCCGCGUGGGUGAGGAAGUACUUCGGUAUGUAAAGCCCUAUCAGCAGGGAAGAAAAUGACGGUACCUGACUAAGAAGCCCCGGCUAACUACGUGCCAGCAGCCGCGGUAAUACGUAGGGGGCAAGCGUUAUCCGGAUUUAUUGGGUGUAAAGGGUGCGUAGACGGAAGAACAAGUUGGUUGUGAAAUCCCUCGGCUCAACUGAGGAACUGCAACCAAAACUAUUCUCCUUGAGUGUCGGAGAG
rnacentral:rRNA from 1 species